UACGGAGGGUGCAAGCGUUAUCCGGAUUCACUGGGUUUAAAGGGUGCGUAGGUGGACUGGUAAGUCAGUGGUGAAAUCUCCAAGCUUAACUUGGAAACUGCCGUUGAUACUAUCAUUCUUGAAUAUCGUGGAGGUAAGCGGAAUAUGUCAUGUAGCGGUGAAACGCUUAGAUAUGACAUAGAACACCGAUUGCGAAGGCAGCUUGCUACACGAUCAUUGACACUGAGGCACGAAAGCGUGGGGAUCAAACAGG
rnacentral:rRNA from 1 species